AAACGGUGCCAGACGGAUUCGGAUCUGUUUCUAAUGAACAGAGGAGAAUCUGCCGAGGGCUCGGUUACAUGAAACCUGAUCGCCGAUGCAUAAAGAUGCGUUUACAGUUACGACAAGUCACUUCUGGGAGCUUGCAGGCCUGCAGAACGGGGGAUAUCAUUUUUCGCAGUGAUAAACACGGUCACGCCGUGGCAUAUAAAUAACGAUAACACUCACAGUGCACCGCAUACGGUCAAGUACAAUUAGUCUACAUCCUGUUUUCAGCGUUCAAAAGCGCUCCUUUCUGACUCAUGCUCUAAACCAGCCCCAUAAAGUGUGUCACUCUACCUACAUAUACCAAACAACGGGGCAUCCUGAUAUCCGACUGUGGGACGAAACUGUGGGACAUCCGGAUAUCCGACUGAGGGAAACAGAGGAUCUGGAAGAUCUCUGAGGAACCUCCUGAGAGCAGUGGCGACAUCAUGUUCGCUGUACGAAUUUCUGGUGAUUUGGGUGGCCCAGGCAUCUCUUCUAAAGGCUUCCAACAAUCUGGCAAUGGCACUGCUGGAUCCACUUCGACGAUAAAUGCCUUCCGACAUGAUCCCUGGAACACAAGACAUCGAGUCUCCGUAAAUUGCAGGGAAAACGGACACUUUAUACAAAUUACAAGAAAUCGACAGAACUUUUGGGAGGACCUAAUAAGUUUAUCUGAUUUUCCUUUGGUUUUAACAAAAAAUAAUUAUCAAUUACUAAGGCG
rnacentral:lncRNA from 1 species